CACUCCUGCGGGAGGCAGCAGUGGGGAAUAUUGGACAAUGGGCGCAAGCCUGAUCCAGCCAUGGCGCGUGAGUGAUGAAGGCCCUAGGGUUGUAAAGCUCUUUCACCGGUGAAGAUAAUGACGGUAACCGGAGAAGAAGCCCCGGCUAACUUCGUGCCAGCAGCCGCGGUAAUACGAAGGGGGCUAGCGUUGUUCGGAUUUACUGGGCGUAAAGCGCACGUAGGCGGACUAUUAAGUCAGGGGUGAAAUCCCGGGGCUCAACCCCGGAACUGCCUUUUAUACUGGUAGUCUUGAGUUCGAGAGAGGUGAGUGGAAUUCCGAGUGUAGAGGUGAAAUUCGUAGAUAUUCGGAGGAACACCAGUGGCGAAGGCGGCUCACUGGCUCGAUACUGACGCUGAGGUGCGAAAGCGUGGGGAGCAAACAGGAUUAGAUACCCGUGUAGUCCCAU
rnacentral:rRNA from 1 species